UUUUCUUCUUCAUCUUCUACCCUCUAACUCCUCAGUUCUCUCAUGCUCUCUGUCUUCCUUUGAUCCUCAGCCACCAACUCCGCCGUGACAGAAAAUACCUGAUUUACCAGAUAAGUUGACUCUCUCCUUCUUAUUCCUUCUGAUGCAAUGAGAUGCGCAACUUUGUUAACAUCUCUGUUUCUAAAAAGGAAAACACAAGUCUGGAAACCCAAGCUUAAUUUUUUAGAGUCAUUUAUAAACACAGCAAUCUCUGAUCUGUCCUCAUACUCUACUUGUAGCUUACGUAUAACCGUCUGGGAGUCACCCUCGAUCUCCACCUCCCGCAAACCAAGAUGUAAACCAAGUUGAGUAUAAUUUCAUGAUUAUUCCAAGUUGUCAAGUUUAUAAAUGGAAUUCAUUUAAGAAUUUUAUUGUACUGGAUAUGAAUUUAUAAACUAGUAUAUUUCCUUGUACUCAUUUUGACAUCUCCUCAUAAAGUGGUUAUUUCAUAACUAAACUUGCGAAAACAGAAAGGUUCAUGAUCUGGCUCUUUAGAAUAUAAGACUAAUCAUCUUGUUUUAUAAGACAUGAAAAUGAAUAAUAUUUGAAAUAUACUUAUUAUAUGCAUAAAACUGGUGGGUAAGUCCAAAAGAAUUAGCAACCUUUUAGCACUUAAUUUGAGGAAAAAUGUUGGGGAACAAUUAGAAAUAACCCAAAAAUUAAUUCAUCUUAACAAGAGAAAGGUGAAACUUUGAAUAACAGAGUUUAUCCCAUCAAAGAAGUUCCAAAAUCCCUGAGCUUACAUACAAGCAACUAAAAAGUUAAAUCAAACUUCAUCAAAUUUCCCAUUUCCUUAUUAUCACAAUUUGAUCAUUCUAUAAUCAAGUUUAGGGUUUUAUAAAGUUCCAAAAGCUAAAACAAAAAGGCAUGUCCUUUUUCGAUUCUAACCCUUCAAACUAUACUAAAAACCAAAACUUGAAACAACCUAGAUUAGAGACCGUAAACAAAAACCAAAAUAAUGGAUCAAAAAAGUAUCUUUGAUCAAAUAUGAACCCAAUAUAAAAAUAUUUCAGAUUAGAGGUGAAGCAAAACUAACUUGUAAAAUAAACAAGAAAAGAGAGUGAGAUACUUAAGAGUAAAACCAGUAAAAGACCAACGAGAAAGCCGAAAACAGAAAAAUGUCUUUCCCCUCAAUGUCUUGUCGAAUCAACUUGUUUUGGGACAAUGAGAUGCUAAAUCACAACACAGGCAAAGAGGUGUUCAAUACAGAGAUGAACCCUGGGUUGGGGUGGUAAUGAAAGGGAAAGGGAAGGGUAAGAGGGUUUAACAAAGUGCUGGGAUGUGAAAAGGAGAAAGGUUGAAAAAUGUCAUACGAAAAAAAAGGGUAAGACAUUUUUCUAAAAAAAGGCACCAUUUUCCUAUGUUUUGGAGAAUGUUUUACGAUGAUAAUUCAUUUUCCACCAAAAAACCAUCAGAAAAGGUUGAAAAUAUUUUUCAUAAAAGUUUUCACAGGUAAACAAAAGGAUCCUUAAUAUAUUUGUUUCCUUGUGCUAAAUGAAAUGUUUUCACCAAUUUUACUUAAACAGUCUUUAAAAAUUAUUUUUACUACGAAAAUUUUUGGAAAACCAUUGGUUUCAGUGGAUAAACGAAUUCAAAAUGAUCUGAAAUUUUAUAUAUUAUUUCUUGACACUUUGGUAUAUUGAAAAAAAUGUUUUCCAAAAAAUAAAAAGAAAAAGAAAAAAUUUUAAAAAAUAAAAAAAAAGACAAAAAAGAAAAAAAUUAAAAAAAUAUUUUGUCGGUUGAAUUUUGUGCCUAAAAUUUCAAGAUCGAAUAUUUAUCAUAUAAAAAGGAUCUAGCUUAAUUUUCGUGAUUUUAGCAGAUCGGGAACACCUUGAAUAUAAAAUUCAAGUUGUUUUCUACUGUUUUAGGUUUUCGGGUGGGUAGUUUAUAUUUUUUGAUUCUAGCCUUAGGUUUUCUUUUGUUUUUAGUUUUUCUUAUUCUAUUAUGGAUUCUAACAAAUUUUUGCUUUUGUGUUAAUUGGUAUGAAAAGAGUCGCCUCUUCUAUCUUCGCGCAAUUUUUCGCGCAACUUACUUCAUUUGGUAUAUUAAAUAAUAAUUAUUUAAUAAAAAAAUUAUUUAAAAGUCAUCAUGAAACUAUUGAUUUUUUUAAGUAAUGGUAAAAUUUCCAUUAAGUCAUUUUCAUCAAAAUAAAAAUAGAAUAAUUGAACUUUAGUUUCUAUACUUUCCCAACUUAUUUAGUUUAGUCCCUGAACUCGAUAUAGAAUUUUAAACUUAAUCACAUGCUCCUACUAAUAAUUUUCUAUGUUUUCAUGUUUGACAGUUUCCUCUAAAAAUGAUCACAAUUUCUUAUACAACUAUUUAUUUAUAGAUUACUUAUUUAAGGACUUCUACCAUAAAUAUUCUUUUUUUUUAAAGUAGGGAUGUUACCUUGAACUCCAUAUUGGGUAACUAAGUUUAGUCUUUCAAAGCCCAUCAUAUAUUAAUAUUUAAUUAUUAUUAAAGUUAUAUAAUUAAAAACUGAAAAAUACUUUGUUAAUAUAAAGUAUAACCUUAUAGCUUAAAGGGCAAAUUAUAUGAAAUAUAAUUUGGCUAAAGGUGUGAAUGUUAUACAAUAUAAACACCUAAUCUAAAAUACAUAGUAAUUUAUAUAUAAAAUUCAAAAUUUUAAAAAUUCUAAAGGGUGCGACUGUCUAUUUGGAUCCAUCAUUGGCCGCCAACAAUAUACUUAUUUGAAGGCAAACAUUAAUUGUUAAAGAUUGCUUGAUUUCUUGGAACAUACAAGGAUGAUGCAUGCAUCAAAUGCAUAAUUAAACACAAACCAUUCAAUAAAUAAGUAUUGAUUGUAAUGAUAAAAUAUAUUACACUUAUAAGAAGAGAUACAUAUUUGAACUUUAGAAGCGAUAUUGUUGAGAGGGAUAACCUUGAACCCUAAACAUGGUACAAAUUGAUGAAAUUUUUAACAGAAAUGAUCAAUUUGCUCGUUGAUCUAACAUAAAAGGAUUAGUUUGCUCAUUUUUAAGUAAAAGAGGCCAAAUGCAAUCUGACUCCUAAUAUAGGUGCAUUCAUGGUACUUUUACCCUAUAUUCUCAUAAAUUAAAAUAAGGUCAAAAGAUCUAGAAAGCCCUAAACAUUUUUCAAAAAAAUAAUUAAAGCCUUUGAAUAUUAAAAUUUUAAUUAAUUAAGUUCUUUGACCGUUAAAGAGUGAUGGUUGUUGUUUUUGGGUUAUUUUUGCCACGUGUCAUUUUAAGUUAGUACUAUGUGACGAAAAUUGAUAUUUUAUGUUUAAAACCAUUUAAAAAUUAUAAAUAGUACAAAAAUAUUAAAAACAAAACUAUUAAAAUAACAAAAAAAAUAUAAAAAGAAAUAUAAAUUACAAUAAAAAUAAAAAUAUUGUAAAAAAUGAAAUAUAUUUAAAAGCUAUAGAAAAUUAUUAAAAUUUCUAUAAAAUAUAAAAAAUAUUAUAAAAAGCAUAAAAUUAUAAAACAAAUUAAAAAUAUAUGAAAAUUAUAAAGCUUAUAUUUUUUCAUUUGCAUACUAACCAUUGUUAACAAUACAACACCGAUUAAAAAUUAUAUAAAAAAUUAUUUGAUUCCUUAAGCUAUCUAUUGUGUUAAUCUUACACAGACCUCCCCAAUGCUUGCACCCCUUUGUCCAUCAUCGAUGACAGGAGAGUCGUUUUGAGAUGCAAACUAAGGAGCGAAAUGGAUGGGAAGGAACCAAUGCUAUAUACCAAAUUGUAGGAAUUUUAUUAUACAAUUUUUUUGUAAUUUUCU
rnacentral:lncRNA from 1 species